UACGUAGGGGGCAAGCGUUGUCCGGAUUUAUUGGGCGUAAAGAGCGUGUAGGCGGCUUUACAGGUCCGUUGUGAAAACUCGAGGCUCAACCUCGAGACGCCGGUGGAAACCGUAAAGCUAGAGUCCGGAAGAGGAGAGUGGAAUUCCUGGUGUAGCGGUGAAAUGCGCAGAUAUCAGGAGAACACCCGUGGCGUAAAGGCGGCUCUCUGGACGGUACUGACGCUGAGACGCGAAAGCGUGGGGAGCGAACAGG
rnacentral:rRNA from 1 species